rnacentral:tRNA from 1 species
GGAGGGGUGGCCGAGUCCGGUUGAAGGCACCCGCCUUGAAAGCGGGGAUCCCCGGAAGGGGAUCGGGGGUUCGAAUCCCUCCCCCUCCGCCA